rnacentral:rRNA from 1 species
ACCUGGAUAUGGAUUCUUCACGGUAACGUAACUGAAUGUGGAGACGUCGGCGUNAGUCCUGGGAGGAGUUAUCUNUUCUUCUUAACAGCUUAUCACCCUGGAAUUGGUUUAUCCGGAGAUAGGGUNUUAUGGCUNGAAGAGCGCAACACCUNUNUUGCGUCCGGNNCGCUUACGNCGGCCCUUNAAAAUCCACAGGAAGGAAUAGUUUUCAUGCCAGGUNGUACU